rnacentral:tRNA from 1 species
GGCUUUAUAGUUAAAAUUAUAAUAUAAAAUUGCAAAUUUUAAGUUAUUUAAAAAUUAAAGCUU